UACGAAGGGGGGCUAGCGUUGUCCGGAUUUACUGGGCGUAAAAGCGCACGUAGGCGGAUCGAUCAGUCAGGGGUGAAAUCCCAGAGCUCAACUCUGGAACUGCCUUUGAUACUGUCGAUCUGGAGUAUGGAAGAGGUGAGUGGAAUUCCGAGUGUAGAGGUGAAAUUCGUAGAUAUUCGGAGGAACACCAGUGGCGAAGGCGGCUCACUGGUCCAUUACUGACGCUGAGGUGCGAAAGCGUGGGGAGCAAACAGG
rnacentral:rRNA from 1 species